rnacentral:misc_RNA from 1 species
AAGUCGUAACAAGGUUUCCGUAGGUGAACCUGCGGAAGGAUCAUUAGUGAUAAACGCAACGCGAUCGCAAGGUCGUGUUGCUAACCUUCUACUAUUACCAAACCACUGUUUAAAAAUGUAUACAAGAAUGUCAUAGUGCGCUACUUAGCCACGAAAAAGAAAGCUUUAAUAAAACUUUCAGCAAUGGAUCUCUUGGUUCAG